rnacentral:rRNA from 1 species
UACGGAGGGUGCAAGCGUUGUCCGGAUUUAUUGGGUUUAAAGGGUGCGUAGGCGGCCCGUUAAGUCAGUGGUGAAAUCCCAGGGCUCAACCCUGGAACUGCCAUUGAUACUGACGGGCUUGAGUUCGGUUAAGGCGGGCGGAACUGGUGGUGUAGCGGUGAAAUGCAUAGAUACCACCAAGAACACCGAUUGCGAAGGCAGCUUGCUGGACCUGUAUUGACGCUGAGGCACGAAAGCGUGGGGAGCAAACAGG